GACGAACGCUGGCGGCGUGCUUAACACAUGCAAGUCGAACGGAAAGGCCCUGCUUUUGUGGGGUGCCCGAGUGGCGAACGGGUGAGUAACACGUGAGUAACCUGCCCUUGACUUUGGGAUAACUUCAGGAAACUGGAGCUAAUACCGGAUAGGAGCUCCCGCUGCAUGGUGGGGGUUGGAACGUUUCGGCGGUUGGGGAUGGACUCGCGGCUUAUCAGCUUGUUGGUGGGGUAGUGGCUUACCAAGGCUUUGACGGGUAGCCGGCCUGUGAGGGUGACCGGCCACAUUGGGACUGAGAUACGGCCCAGACUCCUACGGGAGGCAGUAGUGGGGAAUAUUGCCCAAUGGGCGGAAGCCUGAUGCGGCAGCGUCGCGUGCGGGAUGACGGCCUUCGGGUUGUAAACCGCUUUCGCCUGUUACGAAGCGUGAGUGACGGUAAUGGGUAAAGAAGCACCGGCUAACUACGUG
rnacentral:rRNA from 1 species